GAAGAGGUCACACCCGUUCCCAUUCCGAACACGGCAGUUAAGCUCUUCAGCGCCGAUGGUAGUUGGGGGUUUCCCCCUGUGAGAGUAGGACGCCGCCAAGC
rnacentral:rRNA from 1 species